rnacentral:rRNA from 1 species
AACGAACGCUGGCGGCAUGCCUAACACAUGCAAGUCGAACGAGACCUUCGGGUCUAGUGGCGCACGGGUGCGUAACGCGUGGGAAUCUGCCCUUGGGUUCGGAAUAACAGUUAGAAAUGACUGCUAAUACCGGAUAAUGUCUUCGGACCAAAGAUUUAUCGCCCAGGGAUGAGCCCGCGUAGGAUUAGCUAGUUGGUGGGGUAAAGGCUCACCAAGGCGACGAUCCUUAGCUGGUCUGAGAGGAUGAUCAGCCACACUGGGACUGAGACACGGCCCAGACUCCUACGGGAGGCAGCAGUGGGGAAUAUUGGACAAUGGGCGAAAGCCUGAUCCAGCAAUGCCGCGUGAGUGAUGAAGGCCUUAGGGUUGUAAAGCUCUUUUACCCGGGAAGAUAAUGACUGUACCGGGAGAAUAAGCCCCGGCUAACUCCGUGCCAGCAGCCGCGGUAAU